CACCACUGCAAGAGGGGAAGUUGCUACUGUGAUGAAUUCUGCCAUGUGGUACCAGACUGCUACCCAGACCACAGUGUCCUCUGCAACCCUCGUCAAAGGUGCCUACAUGUUCCUUCUAGCUUUGUUUCCCUGAUGUUCCUUGCCACCUGCUACUCCUCUCUGAGCUACUUUUCCAGGUUCCACAGGGAGAGGUUCAGCUGUCCGUGGUAGACAUGAGGGUAGAGAAUGAGGUGGUUGGGUUCCACUUACCUUUCUAUCAUCUUGCAGUAUGGAUGUCUCUUGACUGGUACCAUGUAGACUUUUGAGGGCACACAGGAGUCUGCAGAGAGAUACUGGGGACAUUGAGUAGCAGCGGUGGGGUUGGGAGGCAGAAAUGAGGACAGGAACAUUUACCUUGUGUUUCUCUCAGCUUCUCAGAUGACCAAGAUGGUGCUGCAGAUGGUGCUGAGGAUGGAGAACCCACCAAGCCCCGCUAGGAGCCACCUAGACUGGAUGUAGAGCAUGGUUCAGCGAGUUCUCCAAACCAGCCUCCCAGGAAUGCCGGUCUCCAUGGCUGUGAGGGGAAUCAAGAAGAGAGCCUGACUCCUCUCCUGAGGCCCCUUCCCCACCCUGAGCCAGCAGGAUCCACGGAGCAGAGGUCAUCUGUCCCCAGCUUGGCCCGCUGAGGCCAGCAUGGCUGGGCCCAUGAUGCUUGUCUCUCAGCUCCCAUCCUGUGUACUUCCACAUUGGUUU
rnacentral:lncRNA from 1 species